GACGAACGCUGGCGGCGUGCCUAAUACAUGCAAGUCGAGCGGACGGAUGGGAGCUUGCUCCCAGACCGUCAGCGGCGGACGGGUGAGUAACCCGUGGGCAACCUGCCUGUAAGACUGGGAUAACUCCGGGAAACCGGGGCUAAUACCGGAUAACUCUUUCCCUCACAUGAGGGAAAGCUGAAAGAUGGCAUCUCGCUAUCACUUACAGAUGGGCCCGCGGCGCAUUAGCUAGUUGGUGAGGUAACGGUUCACCAAGGCGACGAUGCGUAGCCGACCUGAGAGGGUGAUCGGCCACACUGGGACUGAGACACGGCCCAGACUCCUACGGGAGGCAGCAGUAGGGAAUCUUCCGCAAUGGACGAAAGUCUGACGGAGCAACGCCGCGUGAGUGAUGAAGGUUUUCGGAUCGUAAAGCUCUGUUGUCAGGGAAGAACAAGUACCGGAGUAACUGCCGGUAGCUUGACGGUACCUGACCAGAAAGCCACGGCUAACUACGUG
rnacentral:rRNA from 1 species